rnacentral:rRNA from 1 species
AUUGAACGCUGGCGGCAGGCCUAACACAUGCAAGUCGAGCGAGCGGCGGACGGGUGUGAAAUGUCUGGGAAACUGCCUGAUGGAGGGGGAUAAAUAUUGGAAACGGUGGCUAAUACCCCAUAUCAUCAGAUGUGCUCAGAUGUGAGGAGUUAGUGGGUGGGGUAACGGCUCACCUAGGCGACAAUCCCUAGGUGGUCUGAGAGGAUGACGAGUCACACGGGAACGGAGACGAGGUCCAGAAUCCUACGUGAGGCAGCAGUGGGGAUUAUUGGAGAAGGGGCGGAAGCCUAUUGCAGCCAUGGCGGGAGUGUGAAGAAGGCCUUCGGGUUGUAAAGCACUUUCAGCGGGGGGGCGUUACCCGCAGAAGAAGCACCGGCUAACUCCGUGCCAGCCGCCGCGGUAAUAC